CAAAGGAAUUGACGGGACCCCGCACAAGCAGCGGAGCGUGUGGUUUAAUUCGAGGCUACACGAAGAACCUUACCAGGGUUUGACAUGCAAGUGGUAGGAAUCCGAAAGGUGACCGACCCUUCGGGGAGCUUGCACAGGUGCUGCAUGGCUGUCGUCAGCUCGUGUCGUGAGAUGUUCGGUUAAGUCCGCUAACGAGCGCAACCCUCGUCGUGUGUUAUACGUGUCACACGAUACUGCCGGUAUCAAGCCGGAGGAAGGUGGGGAUGAUGUCAAGUCAGCAUGGCCUUUAUAUCCUGGGCUACACACACGCUACAAUGGCAGAUACAAUAGGUUGCGAAACCGCGAGGUGGAGCCAAUCCUCAAAGUCUGUCUCAGUUCAGAUUGUAGGCUGCAACUCGCCUGCAUGAAGUUGGAGUUGCUAGUAAACGCAGGUCAGCUAUACUGCGUUGAAUACGUUCCCGGGGUUU
rnacentral:rRNA from 1 species